GGCACUUUGGCGGAGUGGUUAACGCGAUGCCCUGCUACCUUCAGUAAGGCAUUUCCCUAGGGAGCGUGUGUUCGAAUCACACAGGUGUCG
rnacentral:tRNA from 1 species